GGCAACCCUGACGGAGCAACGCCGCGUGGGGGAGGAAGGUCUGUGGAUUGUAAACUCCUUUUCUCUAGGAAGAAGUUCUGACGGUACUAGAGGAAUCAGCAUCGGCUAACUCCGUGCCAGCAGCCGCGGUAAGACGGAGGAUGCAAGCGUUAUCCGGAAUUAUUGGGCGUAAAGCGUCCGUAGGCGGCUUAUCAAGUCUGCCGUUAAAGACUGCAGCUUAACUGUGGGCGAGCGGUGGAAACUGAUGAGCUAGAGUACGGUAGGGGUAGAGGGAAUUCCCAGUGUAGCGGUGAAAUGCGUAGAUAUUGGGAAGAACACCAGUGGCGAAGGCGCUCUGCUGGGCCAUAACUGACGCUGAGGGACGAAAGCUAGGGGAGCG
rnacentral:rRNA from 1 species